CCAGUGAUGGUUGAUUUUAUGUGUUAACGUGACUGGCCACAGGAUGCCCAAUUAAACUUUAUUUCUGGGUGUUAGGAUAUGAAUGGGUGGACUCAGUAAAGUAGAUUGCCCUCCCCAUUGUGACCUCAUCCAAUCUGUUGAGGGUCUGGAUAAAACAAAAGGUGAAGGAAGGAGGGAUUUACUUUUUUUGCUUCCUGUCUGCCUGCAUGAGCUGGGACAUCUUAUCUCUCUGGCCCUAGAACUGGGAUUUACACCAGUGACUCCCCUGGUUCUCAGGCUUUCAGACUCAGACUGAAUUACACCGUGGGCUUUCCUGGGACUCUGAUGGCAAUUUGUGGGACUUCUCAGCCUCCGUAAUUGGUGAGCCAUAGCAGAUACUUCAAUGCUCCAGUGAUGUUGGACUUGGGCUAUGUGACUUGCCCUUAAUGAUGGAAUGUGGGUGGAAGUGAAAGUGUGUCAAUUCCCAGCUAUAAGCAUUGCAUGUUUCUGUUUACACCUUUGAAUGUAUGCCACCCUCCAUGAGAAGAACAAGCCACAGGUAACCACUGAUCUCAGAACAAAGAACCUUUGAAACAGACUUGAACUCAACCCACAGCCUAAAACAGAACCACACUAGCUGAACUGCAGAGCAAUGAGCCAG
rnacentral:lncRNA from 1 species